GGCGGCAUGCCUAACACAUGCAAGUCGAACGGCAGCAUGGUUUGUAGCGAUACGAGCUGAUGGCGAGUGGCGGACGGGUGAGUAACGCGUAGGGAUCUGCCCUGUAGAGGGGGAUAACCCGGGGAAACCCGGGCUAAUACCGCAUAAUACUCUGAGGAGGAAAGUCUGGGCAACCAGGCGCUAUGGGAGGAACCUGCGUCCGAUUAGCCAGCUGGUGGGGUAAAGGCUCACCAGGGCGAUGAUCGGUAGCUGGUCUGAGAGGAUGGCCAGCCACACUGGGACUGAGACACGGCCCAGACUCCUACGGGAGGCAGCAGUGGGGAAUAUUGGACAAUGGGGGCAACCCUGAUCCAGCAAUGCCGCGUGUGUGAAGAAGGCCUUCGGGUUGUAAAGCACUUUGGGCGGGGAAGAANGGAUGGAGUUUAAGAGAUGCCAUUUUUGACGGUACCCGCAGAACAAGCACCGGCAAACUCUGUGCCAGCAGCCGCGGUAAUACAGANGGUGC
rnacentral:rRNA from 1 species